UACGAAGGGGGCUAGCGUUGCUCGGAAUCACUGGGCGUAAAGCGCACGUAGGCGGAUUUGUAAGUCAGGGGUGAAAUCCCGGGGCUCAACCUCGGAACUGCCUUUGAUACUGCAAGUCUCGAGUCCGAUAGAGGUGAGUGGAAUUCCUAGUGUAGAGGUGAAAUUCGUAGAUAUUAGGAAGAACACCAGUGGCGAAGGCGGCUCACUGGAUCGGUACUGACGCUGAGGUGCGAAAGCGUGGGGAGCAAACAGG
rnacentral:rRNA from 1 species